GCUAAGAAUAUUCCGCAAUGGACGAAAGUCUGACGGAGCGACGCCGCGUGGAUGAAGAAGGCCGAAAGGUUGUAAAGUUCUUUUGUUGGGGAAGAAUAACCAUGGGAGGGAAUGCCCGUGGGAUGACAUGAACCGACGAAUAAGCCCCGGCUAACUACGUGCCAGCAGCCGCGGUAACACGUAGGGGGCGAGCGUUGUUCGGAAUUACUGGGCGUAAAGGGCAUGUAGGCGGUCUUGUAAGCUUGGCGUGAAAGACCACGGCUCAACCGUGGGAUUGCGUUGAGAACUGCGAGGCUUGAGUGACGGAGAGGGAGCUAGAAUUCCUGGUGUAGGGGUGGAAUCUGUAGAGAUCAGGAAGAAUACCAAUGGCGAAGGCAAGCUCCUGGCCGAUGACUGACGCUGAGGUGCGAAAGUGUGGGGAUCAAACAGGAUUAGAUACCCGAGUAGUCC
rnacentral:rRNA from 1 species